GAUGAACGCUGGCGGCGUGCCUAAUACAUGCAAGUCGAGCGAACGGACGAGAAGCUUGCUUCUCUGAUGUUAGCGGCGGACGGGUGAGUAACACGUGGAUAACCUACCUAUAAGACUGGGAUAACUUCGGGAAACCGGAGCUAAUACCGGAUAAUAUUUUGAACCGCAUGGUUCAAAAGUGAAAGACGGUCUUGCUGUCACUUAUAGACGGAUCCGCGCUGCAUUAGCUAGUUGGUAAGGUAACGGCUUACCAAGGCAACGAUGCAUAGCCGACCUGAGAGGGUGAUCGGCCACACUGGAACUGAGACACGGUCCAGACUCCUACGGGAGCCAGCAGUAGGGAAUCUUCCGCAAUGGGCGAAAGCCUGACGGAGCAACGCCGCGUGAGUGAUGAAGGUCUUCGGAUCGUAAAACUCUGUUAUUAGGGAAGAACAUAUGUGUAAGUAACUGUGCACAUCUUGACGGUACCUAAUCAGAAAGCCACGGCUAACUACGUG
rnacentral:rRNA from 1 species